CGUGCAUUCAAGAUUGACCUAAUUUCCUCACAUAAUAACGAAAUAACUUACGUAAUAAACCGCCAUAUAAUAUCCGACACUUUAUGACAUACACAAUGAAUGGAAUAAUACAACUUGAAAAGAUUUCAGGAAGGGCAUUAUUUUUUGAUAAAAUUUCAACAGUGUCCAUGAUGCAAAACAAAGCACCUACAGUUAUCUGAAAACAGAGCACUUUGUACUUAUGAUUUUAUUUUUUAUUUAUUUUUAUACAAAAUGCUUUUUGGCAAAAGGAGAGAACUGAAUAACUUAUUAAAGAAGUUAUUUAAAUGAAAAAAGUACAUGCAAGUCAAAACAAUGACACAAAACACAGUUACUAAUAGUCAUAAAAAUAGUAGCGUUCUCAUAUUUUAGACUGUAGACAUAAAAAUCAUUGACAUAAGCUUGUAAAAUGAUCUUAAAUCAGAAAUGUACAGUUUUAUAAUUUCACAAUAGAUGUUUUUUUUUUCCUAGUGCACAAGGCAGCAAGACACACCAUAGAAUGACAUAGAAUUACUCAAUUCAUUAACACAGACAGGGAGCCAUUACCGUCACAGCAAACACAACUCGGAACACAAAGGCAUAACUGAAGCAAUAAAUACUAAAAGGUUAAGCAAGUUAAAGCUGAUAACAAAAGCAAAAUCAUUUCAAAGAUUACAAUUGUGCGACUUGAAGUUGGAACAAUAAUGAUAAAAAAAAGGAACUACAAGUGACUUUCUUUUAAAUGACCAGUGUCAUUCAACCAUCCUGCACAAACUCCAAUCCCCAUAAUACUAAAAUAAAGAACGGUCCAUUUGGUGUGUGAGACUAAUGAGGAGAUCGCAGUAGAGCGAGCAUGAUUGAAAAGCUCUGACCACACAGGCCUAACAGUGUUGCAAUCUCAGAAAGAUGGCCAUCCAAUGGAUCUCACGUGUCAUCUCAUGAUAUAUAUAUAUAUUUUUUUUACAGGCACCCCAACAGGAUGAGACUUCAACCAGUGCCGAGGCUUUAAACCCCCCCCCCCCCCCCCACCCACCCUCACAAAAGUCAUGAACACUCUAUAAAUAUGCAUGCAGUUAUCUCAUUAACCGGGUACUACAUUACAAUUUCUGAAGAGACAUUUAAAGAAAAUGCUGAUCAUACACAACAAUAUCCUUGUCCUUGGCAAAUAUAAAGAAAACCUUUUUAUAAAGAAAACCUACAGUAAGUACCCCCUCAGUGUAUGCAGAGAAGUGACCUCCAUAUUAGAGUGCCCUGCAUCAGCUCGCUCAGUAUUCACAGAUUCAGUGUUGUUUUUGAAUGCAAGUCUUAAAUUGAGGAGGAGAAGGAGAGCGAGAUAUUCACCACAGUGGGUGGGUGGCCGGUGCCGUAUGGUUACCUUCAGGGUGAUGAGUGGAGUCUCUCUCUCUCUCUCUCUUUCACCCCCUCUCUCUCUCUUAGUCCUCUCCCUCACACCAUCUCUCUACCCACGGGUCAAAUACGACUGGGAGUGUGUGUGUGUGUGUGUGUGUGUGUGUGUGUGUGUGUGUGUGUGUGUGUGUGGAGCCACAGCCUGCGCCCCGGCCCAGGGAUGCGAUGGAGCCCUUUUUAAUGUUUGAACACGGCCGACACUCCUGAGACCCGUGGCCUGGACUCUGACGCACGGCGCUGCAUCACCCUGCCUGCAGCAGCAGAGGAGGACCAGCAGCACCCCACGCUCCUACGCCUGUGAGGUGGACACACAAGCUAACACAGUCUCUCUCUCACACACACUCACACACACACACACACACACACACACACACACACACACACACACACACACACACACACACACACACACACACACACACACACACACACACACACACA
ensembl:lncRNA